AAGGAAGUCCCGCCCCCAUUCUAGACCCCGCCCUUAAUUCGCUGCGCGGGGCGGGCUUUCGCAGUCCGGGUACCGAGAGCGCGGACGGUGGGUGCAAUGGGUUGCGCGGGUAGGUCCUCCUCUCGGGCUUAGGGAGCGGGAGCAACAGGUGGAGCCCGCCGUACCUCCUCUGAAGGGGCUCUGUUCUACCUCAUGUAUGGGAACGUAAGUUCUUGUAUUCUUGCUUUGGUUUUAGCGUAGGGGCUGUUUACGUACUAGCUGUGUGCCUGAAGCCUCGCAAACGUUUUAGCAUUUAAUUUACAACUCAACCAGCCUGUAUUGGAGGUGUUGUUUUCCGCAGGUUUUCAUGCCUCGCCUGUUGCUCACUGAUGGUUGGGGAAGGUCUGGCUGCCUCCAAUAAUCAAGCUAAACUGGGUCCUUUGUUAUAUGCAGAGAAAUCAGCUUCACGGUAGUUAAUCUUUUUUUCGAUGUGGGGACCACCAGACCAUCUGGGAAACCUUUCCCACGCACUGUCUCUAUGUCCGGUGACUUUGGGAAGUCCUAAAGGACAACGGGGGAAUUCACCAAGCUUAGGUCGAGUGAGCCUCCCCACCACCCCGGAGCCAGCAUGGGACACAGCUGAACUCAUUUCUUGGAGGAACUUGCCAGUGUGUCCCCAAGAGCCUGGGUGGCAUAGUCUGUGCCCAACUGGUGCCUGAAGCCUACGGGGACUGCACUUCCUGUGCUCCGGACUUCCUCAUAGGUUGUCUUUCUAGCUGUCUUCUAGUGACAGGAAAUUCAGAGAAACCAACAGGCCUGUUUCUCCAGGAGGGGGAUGUCCCUCAUGCCCUGAAUUCUGCCAGGAAAGUAGACUGGAUACCAAGUGACGUGGAGGAGGGGCUCCUGCAACCUUGCUGUGAAAACCUCUCCCCUCUGUGUCCCAUGGACGUGUCACCCAGUAUCCCAGGGGAAACUGGAGCAGUUUUUGCUGAGCUGUUUGGGGCUGUUGUCCUAAAGCUAAGCAGGGGUGGGGGUGGGGGACAGACAGGUCCUAGGUCUGGUCCCUCAUGUCCUUGUAUUGCACAAGGGACAAAGCCUCAUUUCCCAGGACAUUCAAGCAUAUUCCAAGCAGAGGCCUCUUCCACCCCUGAUUCUGCCCCUUCUUUCAUUUCCUGCCCCUCCUUUUCCCCCCAGCUUCACACUGAGAUUCUCACUUUCCCCUUUUUUCUCCUUAUUCAUUCUUUCAUUCAAAACACAUUUACUGGGACUUCCCUGGCGGUCCAGUGGAUAGGACUUCGCCUUCCAAUGCAGGGAGUGCAGGUUCGAUCCCUGGUCGGGGAGAUAAGAUCCCACAUGCCUCACGGUCAGAAAACCAAAACACAAAACAGAAGAAAUAGUGUAAUAAAUUCAUUAAAGACUUUAAAAAUGGUCCACAUCAAAAAAAAUCUUAAAAAAAAAUAUUUACUGAGCUCCUGACCCAGGGGAAGACGACAGACAAAUCUACACUUUUCAUGAGACUUAUUCCACUAGGGGUAAGGAACAGAAAGAAGUAAGUGUAAUAAUAGCACCUAUUUUGUGAGUGCCUAUGUGCGUCCAAACUAAGGCACAUCAAGGGUAAUUCACUUGCCAAAGGUCACAACUAAGGAUUCCAACCCAGGCACUGGUCAGAGAUCAUGCUGUUAACCAGCAACCCAUACUGCCUCCUUGGUUAUUACAGAUAUGAGAUUAGGGCUCUGUGCCAUUUGUCAGCCAAGGUAAAAUGUUUUGUGCUACGAAUUUGUAAAUCAUGGCAGGCAGGGGAAGGACAAUCUCAUAUAAAAUAAAGUUCACAAGAAUUGCAGUCGAGUUUUAUGAAAAGGAGGACUAUGGAUUUCUCACAUAUCCAAGAAGGGAUUUUGAAAGGGAAAAUAAUGCUCCCGCGGAAGACUCACCCACGCAGGCCUCACCCUUGCAUUAGCGUGCAAAGGUGAGUUCUACCUGGCACCAAGCCUGGGAAGAGAUAGAUUCACUUCCUCCUUGGACUUUUGGGCUUAGACGUCAUCCAGCAUGGAGGGGAUGGAAAAAGAGAUGCCAUGCAAAUGGAAAUCAGAAGAAAGCUGGAGUAGCAAUUCUCAUAUCAGACAAAAUAGACUUUAAAAUAAAGACUCUUCCAAGAGACAAAGAAGAACACUGCAUAAUGACUGAGGGAUCAGUCCUAGAUGAAGAUAUAACAAUUGUAAAUAUUUAUGCCCCCAACAUAGGGGCAACUCAAUACAUAAGGCAAAUGCUAAGGGCCAUGAAAGGGGAAGCUGACAGUAACACAGUCACAGUAGGGGACGUUAACACCCAGCUGGCGUCCUCGGCAGCCUCACUACCUGCAGAACUUCUGACACUGCUCUUCUUUCCCAGAUAGUGACCUCGCAGGGUAGGCAGGGCCGUAGGAGGUGGGGGAGGGGAGAGAGCAACAGGACUCCACUCACUGUAUCCCUCUCUGCUUCCAUCCAGGGCUGCUGUCACUGUGACCAGAGAAAGAUAGUGGUGUCCUUGGCUCUGCACCUAGUGUUCCCACACUGCCUCCAAGAUGUCAGCUAAAGCCAUAGAGAGCGGGGGAGGAGAUGCCACUGACCCCUUCCGGCCGGAAUCCCCCUCUGAUGAGGAGGAUGAACCUUCCCAGUCAUCCAACCAGGCCUCUGAUGGUUCUCCUGGCAAGCCACCACAGGGGCCACCGCAGGGGCC